UGGGAACGUACCCUUCGGUUCGGAAUAACCCGGGGAAACUCGGGCUAAAAACCGGAUACGUCCGUAAGGAGAAAGAUUUAUCGCCGAAGGAUCGGCCCGCGUCGGAUUAGCUAGUUGGUGAGGUAACGGCUCACCAAGGCGAUGAUCCGUAGCUGGUCUGAGAGGACGAUCAGCCACACUGGGACUGAGACACGGCCCAGACUCCUACGGGAGGCAG
rnacentral:rRNA from 1 species